ACCCGCACAAGCGGUGGAUGAUGUGGUUUAAUUCGAUGCAACGACGAAAACCUUACCCACCUUUGACAUGUACGGAACCCUUUAGAGAUAGAGGGGUGCUCGAAAGAGAGCCGUAACACAGGUGCUGCAUGGCUGUCGUCAGCUCGUGUCGUGAGAUGUUGGGUUAAGUCCCGCAACGAGCGCAACCCUUGUCAUUAGUUGCUACAUUCAGUUGGGCACUCUAAUGAGACUGCCGGUGACAAGCCGGAGGAAGGUGGGGAUGACGUCAAGUCCUCAUGGCCCUUAUAGGUGGGGCUACACACGUCAUACAAUGGCUGGUACAAAGGGUUGCCAACCCGCGAGGGGGAGCCAAUCCCAUAAAGCCAGUCGUAGUCCGGAUCGUAGUCUGCAACUCGACUACGUGAAGUCGGAAUCGCUAGUAAUCGUGGAUCAGAAUGUCACGGUGAAUACGUUCCCGGGUCUU
rnacentral:rRNA from 1 species